AUUUUUAUUGCUAUUUUAUUACAGUUUUUGGUCUUUUUUAAAAAAAGUUUUUCUUUUAAAAAUGUUUUGCUGGAGAAGAAAAAAAAAAAUGUCCCAGUGAUUGGAACUCGUAUUAACCUGGUCCUUUCCACUCGCCCCAGCGAUAGCUGCUAUGCAUUCGCCCAUCAUCAAGUAGGGAUGGUUUGGCAUCUUUUCCUGGGUGGACAUCAACUCUUUCAGAUUACGGCUUUCUGUUGCCCAAACUUUCAAUGUAGUGGUAAACAACUGGAUAAAGUAGGACCUCUUUGCUUCUGGCUGGACUUAGGUGGGAUUG
rnacentral:lncRNA from 1 species